CUUGGUGCUCAGUCCUCUGUCCCUCCUUAGCGCGGCCGUCCCUGCUGGCUUCAGGCGGGCAGAGGAGGCCCUGAGCUGACGUCUCCUGCCUCCUUCGAACACCCGGAAAGGACAGUGUCCAGGUUCCACGCAGGUCGCCCCAGUGGAAGCUGCAAGCGUGUCUUAGGAACGUUGCGAAGAGGGACUUGCUUUCAGUUCUGGGAAUAUUCCUGGCCAGUAAUUUGACUAAAAGAACGUCCCGCCAUCGCUGCUCACACCCCUCUUUAAACCUUCACAGACGGUAGAUUCCACUUCGUGUGAUCUGGGUAGAAUGUUAGGGCUCAGAAAGGUCUUUCACGUCCCGCAUUUGCAUUUUCUCCCUCUUUGCAGAGCCACCGUCCUGAGAGGCUCCGUUGCUAGAUAACUAAUUGCAGAGAGCAGAGCAGGCUGCCGGAGGGGGAGCUCCUCCCCUGAGCAGUAGGUGAGCCGAGCUCCUGACCACUAGGAAGCCCAGGGCGAUGAUUUGUCUGUCAAAGCUGGAAGGCACAAAUGCAGUUAUCAAAACAAGCACUGGCUCACAUGCGCAGGACCAAAAAUAAAUUAGGGCAGGCCGAAGAGAAACAGGCUGGCUGCCAACGGGACGUGCAGGAGUUCCAAGAGCAGAGUCUAUAAAUGUGGUCCUGUUUGUUUUUAUGAGGUUCUCAAGGAAAACCUUUUAUGGAGUGGAAUUCUGGGUGUUUCCUCCUAAUAUUUCUUAAAACUAAAUUAAAUCAACAAACGGUUAUUGUGCCCCUGCAGUGAGUGAGGCAGCCUUUGGGAAGCUGCAGUUUGGGAGCAGGAAAGGAAUAAAGAGACAGGGAAGAAAAAAGGGUGACAGUGCUCCCCAUGUGUGGCUCCCCCCGGGGCACAGGUGGAGGAGGAGGAGGAUGGAGUGAACUGGAAGGCGGAUCAGGGUAAGGUGAGGAUUCUGAGCCCCGUGGCUGGCGAGGCGGCCCAGCUACUUCUCCCGGGAGCGCGGGAGGAGACCACAGAGCGAGGGAGAUGCAGAGGGAGGGCCUGAGACUGUCACAGAGCCGAUGAAAGAGGCACAGUCUCCGAUUCAGGAAACACAAGUCCCAAGCGGGACAAAUAGAGAGAAAUCCACACCUAAACACACGGUAGUGAGAAGUCACAGGCCAUCAGGACAGAGAGACGACCUUGCAAGCUGUCAAAGAGAAGAAAUCCAUCCACUUGCCCACGGGUGACCAGAGUGACGGCAGACUUCUCAGCAGCAACAGCAGAAGGAAAGACACAAUGGAAUGACGCCUCCCAGUGCCCAGAGACAGCAGACCUUUGCUGAAAGAACCACCAAGGAAAUAAGGAAAUUCCAGAAGAGAGACGUAAACGCCAGAAGCACUGGAGAGAUAAAAAAAAAAAAAAGUAAA